rnacentral:rRNA from 1 species
UACGAAGGGGGCUAGCGUUGUUCGGAAUUACUGGGCGUAAAGGGCGCGUAGGCUGUGCUGUAAGUCAGGCGUGAAAGGCCCGGGCUCAACCUGGGAAUGGCGCUUGAUACUGCGGCGCUGGAAUGCAGGAGAGGAUGGCGGAAUUCCCAGUGUAGAGGUGAAAUUCGUAGAUAUUGGGAAGAACACCGGUGGCGAAGGCGGCCAUCUGGCCUGCAAUUGACGCUGAGGCGCGAAAGCGUGGGGAGCAAACAGG